AGCCUGAGAAACGGCUACCACAUCCAAGGAAGGCAGCAGGCGCGCAAAUUACCCAAUCCCGACUCGGGGAGGUAGUGACAAUAAAUAACAAUGCUGGGCUAUUUUGGUCUGGCAAUUGGAAUGAGAACAAUAUAAAUCCCUUAACGAGGAACAAUUGGAGGGCAAGUCUGGUGCCAGCAGCCGCGGUAAUUCCAGCUCCAAUAGCGUAUAUUAAAGUUGUUGCAGUUAAAAAGCUCGUAGUUGGGUUUCGGAGCGGUCAGGCUGGUCCGCCGUGAGGCGAGUACUGGCCGGCCACUCUUCCUCUCGGAGUCCCUGUCUGCUCUUUGUUGCAGUGGGCAGGCAAUUCGGGACGUUUACUUUGAAAAAAUUAGAGUGUUCAAAGCAGGCGAUUGCUUGAAUACAUUAGCAUGGAAUAAUGGAAUAGGACCUCGGUCCUAUUUCGUUGGUUUCCAGGACCGAAGUAAUGAUUAAUAGGGACAGUU
rnacentral:rRNA from 1 species